AGCCCAGGCUAUGAGUGCCGGCUCUCCGCCGGGGCACCCACCCUGGCACCGACUCCAGCAGCCAGCUCGGUGCGAAGGCGUGGGGGCCGGGGAGUCAAAGAGAGAAGCGCUUGGGCCAUCAUAAAAUUUGCAAGCAAGGAAAGGUGAGGCUUGGGCAGAGGGAGGUGGAUGUUGUGGCAGGCAGUGCCUGGGGCGAGAAACACAAGCUUGUCCUGCCGAGAAAGCUCCUUUCCAGCAGUGCCUAGCUCCUGCCAAGGCAUUUUCCAGACGGGUCCUUGGCAGCCAGGAGGUCGCUGUGCCGACUCACACCCAUGCUGAGCUGCCCCUUCCCCGGCUCAAAGCAGAAGCAGCUGCUGAAGAAAGUCCCAGGUGCAGCUUCCCCAUGUUACCGCAGGCCUUGUUGCUUAUUUACAAAAGGAGUUCAUGCUGUCUCGCCUUGAUUAGGUUUGAUAUAAUUACAGUUCUUCCCAGGAGUUCCCAGGAGCUGCAUCCCAGAUUGUUCUCACCAGGAAGAAGUGAAGGUGGAGACCCAUUAGCUGUUUGUGUGGGAAGAAACCAGGCCAUCUCAUCCCACCUGUCUCCCCGGCAGAGGGUCUGAUUCACAGCAGGUCUUGCUUUCCCUGUGGUUAGUUAUGUUUCAUUUUUGACCAGGCAUUUCAAAGUUUGAUACAAAAUGCUUCAGUGAGUCAGAGGAUGAAAGCCUGACUGUUUCGACUGACUGGGCCUUCAAAAACCUACAGGGCCAGAACAGAAACCAGACAGGUGUGCGACCAGCCACGCUCUCAAUCAACCUGCUACCACGGCUGUUUUACUUCCUGACUUGCCUUGGAAAGGGCUUUCUGGUUCCAGAGAAACUCCUUUCCGGGGGCUGCAGCAGGGUGCACCAACACCACUCUGUAACCACGUCCUGUUUCCCUGGAUGCUCGUCCAGCUGAAGAUGGCUAGGGAGAAGAGCGCUGCACCUAGCCGCUUGCGAAGGGCAGAUUUGAAGUGUUGGUGGUUGGCAUUUGGCACAGCCAGCGCAAUGCUGCUGAGCGUUUCUGUGCUCGCCCCUUUUCAUAUUGACCCCGGCUUGGAUGCUGUCCCCAGCUGGGGCAGCACAAAAGGCUUAGCACCAUCUUUCUUAGCACAGUUCUUCUUCCUGCUCCUUUUCUGCUGUGUGCUCUUUUGUAGGCCGCAGAUCUGCCCAUGCUUACGGAUGAUGCUGAGCACCCAAGAAAACAGGUCUCCAAGAAUGGGGUUCCCCAGUGCCUGCUGAAAUGGAUUGAUCAGUAACUUACCCAGGAUUUUCACUAGGACGGGACUGUUGGGAGAAGGAAAACGGUGCUCCCUCCAUCCAAACAAUGAGACUACUUGCGUAGUGAAAGCAUGAGCAAGUCUUAGCAGAACCCGGACUCACGAUGAGCAACAGAGCUCUGGUCUCCCCCAUGACUUGAGAAUCGCACUGGUUUUAAUGAGGUGCUGCGAUGUGAACCGGCAUCAGGAAGGGCUGCAGAUAGAAAAAGCACAUCAACAGCCUGCAAGCCAGGAGUGCCCCAAAGGAGAAAGCAUCAAAAUAGAGCCAUAAUUCUAACCACUGGGCAAUCAGGACCAUAAAGCCAGGCUGGAACAGCCCCGCUCUUGCGGAGGAGAGAGGCAUAUCAAACAGCUGGGACACGAGUCAUCCCAGGUAAGAGUAUCAGGAUCUGCCUCACCACAAAGUCAAUAUGCCCAGUCUGUAGUGGGGAGGAGGCAGUCUGAGAGGUCAAGUUUCUUGGUGCUCUUGAGAAAUGUCAGAUUUGCACGUACACACGCUGCAAGCCUUCAAAACACAUCACUCGGGAGUCUAUAGAUAGAACCUGCUCUCUUCUAGGAAAUAUAUCACCCGCCCCCGGUGAAAACUAUCCUAAAAGAACUGCAAGCCAUUUCUGAAGAGAUACUAGCAGUCUUACAACUCAGACAUUCCCAGACAACAUACAGGGACCAAGGUCCUCAGACAAUUAAUUUUGCAUCUUCAGUCAGUUCAGGCGGACGCUUUUUUGAAAUAAGAUCGGGAAAUGACUUGCACGCUUUUAGAAGGGUUAGAAAUUUCCCCUGAAGCUUCAGGAGGAACAUCAAGCUUUUCAAGGCUUUUCAUGAGGGAGACAGACAUCUUGGCUUCUUACCAGGAGGGCUGUGAUUAGGGCACAGCCCCAACUCUGAACUGGAUCAGGCUGGUCAGGAUCAAUGUUGUAUCUCCCUUUAGCAGCUAAGUGUCCACAUAAUCCGAUUUUGAGCAGAAGUUCCAUCCUUUGCUGACAAACAGCAUUGCUCAGACUAACGUAUUGCUGCAAAAAGCCUUUCUUUCAACCAACUGGCAUUUUAUCAAGGAAUCCCCAGCCUGUUCAGAUUUAUACCACUUGGAAGCAUAUGCCAAAAGCUGGAAUAGAUAACUCAUCUGAACAAGACCAUUUUAGAAGCUCUGCGGAGCAAGGCCUGAGCUGAUGGGCUGGAGAGAGCAACAAAAUCGAUUAGUUUCUUUGCACCAAGCCUUAGAAGAAGUCUUAACAUCUUCAGAGACUGAGGCUCAAGCAUGCCAUGUGUCAGAGUGGCGUCACUACACAAGCUGACAAUCCAACAUUUUUGGAUUUAGAAUGGCUUCAAAACAUAUCUUCCUGACACUUGUUCAUCAGCUGAUUUAUUGCACUGAGUGCCAGCUUGACUUCCUGCCAUCAGUAACGCAGUGCCGUCAAUAUCUCGGCUUUCAUAUCAUUUAUCUGGCUGGUUCGUCUGUUCUCAAAGUAUCAUCUCACUUAGCAGUGAAUUUUUCUGUGAAGUGCUCUCUCAAACAUGCACAAAAACCAUUCAAAAACUAUUGGGGGAAAGCAUAGAACAAGUGUUUUUGCUGUUUUCUGUCUGGUUUUUAUAUGCAACUGUGAUUAUUGUAACAACAUGGUUGUGAAUGUGAAUAUGAAAAUGAAACUGAGAGGAGAACAUGGCAGUUGAACAUGGGCUCGUCCUUUUUAAUUGUAAGUCAGCCUGCCAGCCCUGCGCUUGGUGUGAAGGGAGUUAGUGGUGUGUCCAUCCUGCAGAGCAUGCUGGAGAAAAGCCAUAUCUACAUGAUGACCAACUCCAGUAGCCAUCACUGCCACCUUGGGAGAAGGAAAAGGAAAAGAAGGGGGGAAAAGACUCAGUUCAGAUACUGACCUGCUUCUUGAAGGUGUGCCAUGUGUGCCACAGGGCUCAGCAUCUGUGAGGCCUUGGCAAGUCACGCAUCACCCUCAUGUGAUGACUGGAGAGAGCAGCCCUGGUUAUCAGAGCAGCUGAUACUCAGUGUCAGCUUUGGCGCUACCGCACGUGCUAUGAGAGAUUCAGGUCAGUGGUGCCACUGGUGGCUCAUGCCAGCCUUACAAGUGGUGACAUUUCUGGAUAUCUCAAUGGGGAGGGGAUUCCUGAAGCUAAGGCUGAGCUCCCUCCACCCAAAGGCAGUGACAUCCACUCAGUAAAUGCCAAGUCUUUUGCUUCAGUGCAGAGAAUAGAAUCCAGAGCAGUCAAAAUCUGGAGGGAGACAAGGUGGUGGCACUGCUUGAGAGAUCCAUAAUUGGGAGAAGCCAAGCAAUCAGGUCAGAACAAUUACAGGUUCCAAAUGUACAUCAUCGUUCUGCUAAUUCCUAACUCUUCCCCUGCUCCCUUCUCUGCUGAUGCUCCAGUCCCCACUUUGGUACCUGCCAGGUCCUUUUAGAGAGCUGACAUUUCCUUUCCUGACAUUUUCUGCAGCUCCAUCUGGGAAUUAAUGGCCGGAUAUUAACAGCGAUGGGGCCGUUUAUCAUAAUUAGUCUCAUGAAGCUACUAAGCAUCCAACUAUUUUUCAUCAGCGCCGAGGAAAUAAACUGCAGAAUCCAGUAGACGAGACGGACGAUUUAUUUAUUGAUUGAUUUAUUUUGGUCUGUCAGGAUGUGGCUUUAAAGUUUGUGGAGAUGAGCAGUGCUUCUUGGAGGCAAUGACGACAGUAGGACUAGCUCGCCUUGGGCGCAUAAGCUGCAGAAAAGUGGCCCUGGAACCCCCGGAGAUGGCGAGGAGACAUUUGUUAUCCUACAUCUGCUCUAGCCUCCUCUUAUAUAAACGACAAGUCGCGACAGGCUGAGUCCUGACUUGGCAAGCUUAUGAAGAGACAUCCACUAGCCACAUGAUGGCACCAUAAAUGAAAGCCAUCUCAACGCAUGCCUUUUUUUCCACAUCAGGAAAGUGAACAGAGGGUGCUGUUUGCCCUGAAGGAGAUGGCGCGUGGCUCAGCAGCUCAAAGGCAGUCAGUUGGCCAGGUGGUCCCCAGAACCCAGUGCUAAAGGAGGAUGCUGCAGACAGCACGUGUCUGUGUCCCCUUCCAUAUGUGCCUGGUCACUGUUUUCUUAUUUGUCAUCUCAUUCAGAACAGAGUGAAACUCUGCCUUCGUGUUGUUUUUCUUCUCCUUCAAGGGAUCAGCACUGAAGGGCAGGCAGGCAAAGUCUCAUGCGCAAGAGAGACCAGACUGGGUCCCUUGCAGGCAGGGGAAGGCCUCGAGGAGGAGCUGGGUCUCAUCAUCAGCCACCUUCUCCGGGGCAGAUGAGCUCCACCCUGCAGAAGCUGACACCCGCUGUGCUCUGAGUCUUACUUUUUAGGAGCCAAUGCAGUACGUUGUCUGUGUUUCUAUGAGCUUGGGGACUCGAGAAAUAUGCCUGAGCCUGCAUUCCUCUCUGAGGGAAGCUGGUCACUGAGCUGCUGAGAUCCAUCAGAUGGUGAGAUCUAACCCGAUGGCUAUAGCUCUGGGCCAGGAGCUUGCUGGGGCAGUGGCAGCUGUCUGUGCUGAUUUCAGUAGCUCUUCCAUCAGCUUGGGAGUCCAGAUGACCACCCCACAUGACAGUGGUAUUGAAUGGGAAGAGAUAGGAUUGCAGGAAUGUGAAGGCUCCGUUUCUCUCUGGUUUAUCCUCUCCAUCCCUCUGAUCUCUCUCCAGCCGAUAGAGUUAAGCAUUCAGAGAACUCAGGCGUUUUGUCCUCUACACGUCAGACCAUGUCUUUGACACAGGUCUCUCUGCCUAGUAGAUGUCAAGCACAUCAGGGGAGGAAGAACUGACCGUUCAGAGCAAACAGCCGUUCUCCAUACAGCUGUGCUAGAGCUUCCUAUUUUCCUUGCAACAUCCCACCCCCACCGCUUUGGACACGCAAGGGAGGCAAUGCAGCCACCCUCGACUCCUCCCUAGAAGGCUAAUCCAGGCUAGUCCCUCACCUGAUUGCUCCGUCGUCCUCACCUGCACUGUCCUGGGUAGUCCCAGGGAGCUCUCCUACAGAUGAAUCAAGUCUUUGGGUUCCUGUUCCCCAUCCCGCACCCCUGACCACCUGAUCAGCUCUUGAGGCAGUUGAUCUGACUCUGGCUCAGGAGCCAGAGUUGGGCGCUGGAAGGACUCUUUUGCCUCUAAAGGGACAAGGAACAGUGUAAAGGCCAGAAGCUGAACAGCCCUAACUGUACCUGCACAUAGCAGGGCACUUCCAGCUGGAAAUCAGUAUCUCAUCCACAUGAACAAGAAAAGGACUGGAGGAAGACCUCACAUACACCCACUGCAAGAAGAUUUGAAUGUGCCUUUGGACAUGUUUUGCAGUAGGUGCAGACCCAUCCAAGGUGUUCCCGGAACCAGAAGCCAGGGGCACACAGUGGCCAGCAGACGCAACUUGAAAGCUCGUGCCAAGGCCACAGGAAGCAGCAUGAGAUAACAUGCCUUGUGAAAACCCUGUCGGGGUCAGCUCGCCUAAUUCUGCAUGAUGUCUAGUCAGGGGCUGGCACUUCUCUGCCUGCAGCUUCCUGUGCCUCUGUUUCAAGGCAAGAAGCGAGGAUUGCAUGACCCUGUGGAGGUUCUGCCACAGAGGCCUUCCAAGGCUUCCGGACGAACUAUUGGUCCUCCUCUCUAUAGCUGUGAGUACCUCUGACAUGUAGCUACAACUCUACCAGUGCAGCUCAGUGCUCACCUGCAGCAGGCCUGCCCCCACGACUGCAGGCUGAUUAUCAAGAGCUUUCCAUCCUGAGGUUUGCUAUGCAAACAUCAGACAUUUGUGUUUAAAUAUUACACUCUUCUGCUGAUGUGAAGCUAGUAAUUACAGCCAGAUGGGACCUGGCUCACAGGCAGACACCAGGCCCACACACUGCUGGGUGGCAUUUUUUUUUAAAAACCAUGUGGCCAGCCACCGGGAGGAAGAUCAGAAAAGCUGAAUGUAAUUAAAAACAGCAAAAAAGGGGGUUUCUAAUUAUACCGCAUAGCAUAUUCCAGGUGAGAGCUAAGUGUUCCUGGCUGCAGUGCUUGGCAGCCUGAAUGCUAUACCUGGGACACGCUCCAAGCCAGUGUGUUCAAGCCACAGAUCUCUCUAGGCACAGCCUGACAGUGACAUGCAACAAUUUGGUAUUAGCACCUCCUGCAGUAGCAAGAGAGCCUGAUCCUGCAACCUCUUCCUCACCUGAAUAAGAGCCAUUUGCACAAGUGCCUGAUUCAGCCAUACAUUCUGGUCAGGUCUGUAAGACGCUGUGAUUUUUAGCCUCUCUAAGGAGUUUGGGGAGCAAGCAGGGCUUCUGCUAAGUCGAUGAAACUCCAGGGGAUCUUGCACCAGGCAUCAGCCCCAGUCCUCAGGGCAAAGGGGUCCCGUUCCUAUUGGGAAGAGACAGCAUGCCUAAGACUGCAUGAGGCCAACAGUAGCCUCAGCUUGAGCCUUUGAAGAGGAUAGCUACCCGUACCCAGGCCCACUUGUUGGCCUCUGAGCUGGCGUCUGGGCGAAAGGUCUGAGUUUGGGGGUAAUGCCAUCAAGCUGUGGGAGAGACAUGCCCUUCGCUAUCUCUGGAACCAGUUCUCUCCCUUCUUUUUUAAUGCCUCCUCUGCAAAGCCGUGGAGUAUUACAUCUCUGAGUAUGCAGUGUGGCGUGAGCAGCCUGGUCACACCUAGCUUUGGGGUACAGCCCGCACUGUGAAAGGCAGAUCUGAAACCCAGCCAAGUAGUCCCUCUGUAUGUGUUACACUUCCAGGGCCACCACAUUGCUAGUGUGAGCUCCCAUCUGCUGCUGCCUCCUCACCUGCUAAGUUUAGAGAUCGUCUUCUCUCUGCUUGCAUGCCUGAACACAUUUCUGUCUUGCACAAGCUGCCUGAGGUAGGAAAUACUUCAUUUGCCACCAGCUCCAGGAUUUCAGCCCUGAUUCUGUUCAAGGCAGAACAAAAGCAUUGUAGUUAGUGGUGGAGUUUUUUCCCCAGAUGAUUCUAUCUCAAACAUCCAUAUUCAGCUUCAACAUCUGAUUGUAUUUUUUAAAUAGAGAAUCCGCUCUCCUCUUGCCUCUCUCCUUCACAUUCAGCAGACCCAAAGGGUUAGCAGGGACAGACCAGUCUAGGUAAAAUGGCUCACUGUGUGUCCUACCCAGUGUUUGUGCUGUAUGCACACACCGCACCAAGUGCCUAGGAAGCUGCCCUCCCCCUGCACUGCAGACCUGAUUGAGCUCUAGCAGCCUCUGUGAUACAGAUAAUAGCUGCCAUUCGCAACCUGAAAUACAGGCUAAAUCUAGCUAAUCAUGCACAAUUUUGAGCAGUUCUGGUAAAGAAACCAUUGCAGGUGACACUCCAAGGGAAACAAGAGCUAUAAAUGCUACAGCCUUUUCUCUGCAAAUCAAUGUAUCUCCUUUUAACCUCCAUCUUCCCACUAGCCACCCGUUCCCCAUCUUAGUAACAAACGCUCCGGCACGCUCUGAGAAUACUCCCAAGCCAAGCGGUGCAAAGUCAUAGCCCAGUUUCCUGCCCAAACAGCCAGGAAUGUUUAAUUCCCCAGGACAAUUGCUGGGAUGUAUCCUGCAUAUUAUAACAGUCAGCAUUAUGCAGCCACCUGCUCACCCAUCCAGAUGUAUGAAACAUACUGCAGUCAGCCCGCCAAACAGGAGCCAGUGUCUCUGGUUGCAAGGGGAAGAAAGAGAGAAAGCAGCAGAAUGGAAAAAGAAGGAGGUUCAGGAGAUGCAAUAGUAAAUUUUUUUUUUUUUUGGUGAGAAAUGGUAGAGCCAUGGCAAAUACAUGCUGUAAUUUGAGACAAGUGCCAAGCCUAGGAUACAUUUGCCUCCAUCCUGAUCCCCAAGGAAAUCAGAAUCACCCCUUGGUGAGAGGCAGGGAAGGAGAGAUGACGAUAUACGCUGUGAGACAAAAUCCUGAUACAUCCAUAAGCCUACACCAAAACUCUUGGAUCCCGUCCUCUGAGGUUCACCAGCAAGAAACCUGUGACCAUCAGAUGCUUCUUCAUGCUUCCUUUGGCUCUCAGCUGCCCCAUCUCACUUUUGUACCUCCUCCCUGAGGACCUCCUUCUCCCUUUCCCUGUGCUAUGUGGACUUCUAACUUCCUAAAUCUUUCUCAAAGGAUCAAGAGGAGAGCUUUCCAAGGGUGCUUAAUAUUUCUGCUCUCAUACACGCUGGGAGAGGGUGCAUGGGAGGGAAGGAAAGGCCUCAAGGCCUCUCUAUUUUCUACAGUCAAGGGCAGAACUCUUGCAUGCCAUUAUCAACUGCCACAGAGAUGUGGCAGCCUUACAUGAUGCUGCUUGGGUCUAUGGGGGCUGAGUUGUACUGCUAUCGCCUUCAUGAAUAAUGGACCCACCUCCACCUUCUGCCUCCCCUUCCCUGUUAGAUCCCCCUUCCUGCUGUGAAUGUCUGGAAUGGUUGUUUGCUCUGUCUCGGGGGCUGAUCUGAGCAGGCUGAGUCCCAGCUCCGGUUCCUCCCUGUUCCCAGAUACAAGUGUUAUACAAGAGGGCACCAAGAAAAUUUCAAGCAGUAAUUAGCAAGGGCAUGAGAAGGAUCUACCUCUUGCAUUUGGUAGGGGUUUAAGGUAUUUCUAUUGCUUCUACUGAAGUUGAGACGCUCCUGUUGUCAGGGCCCUGAGCGCCCUAAUAGGCCUUAAUGGCCCUCACCUGGGGUCUCCGCCCACUCCUUCUGCCCAUUGCUCCAGGAGCUCCAUUUGAGCUCAGCCCUGGGUUGGGUGUGUGGUCCUUGCCUGAGCUAUGUUAUAGGUGAAUCUGUCUCUUGUUCUGCCUUUGGCCCCUUCUUCUGGAUGGAUCUUGGACCUACAUUGUAGGUAGGUCAUCUCCUGGAUGGCCUCCUUGGUUGGAUGUGGUAAUUUGUUUCCAGUCCUGUCUUUGGCCUUCUCUCUUCUAGCUCUUGCCUCUGUCAGGACUCUUUGGAUGGGCUCUGGAGUUGCUUCAUCACUUCACCUUGUCUGGGACUGUCUAGGCCCCUGUCACCAGAAGCUGGCUCUGCCUGCUGUGUUUUGAUGCUGUGAGGCUGCCUCCUGGCUAGUGAGGGUGCUGGCUGUGCUGGGGUUGCUUUUGGCUCCUGGCUUGCCUUCCCUUAGGGAGCAGCUGGUCCUUGCUGUUCCCUAACACCUAUAGUUUCUCCCUCUCUUCUGAUAUUUCACGUUUUAAAGACAAAAGUAUAGCUUCAGGGAGAAAAAAAUGCCCAUCAUUCUAGGUCUUUAAAAACAGAAAAACAAACAAAAAAAUCCCCGCCAAGUCUCUAUGGCUGAAAGAAGCUGGUCUACAGUCCUGGUGUGCUUUAGCAUCAAAGGAACCUUGCAGACCAUCUAUACAAUGUAGUUUUGUAAUUUUACUUCCCCUUUCUUUGGAAGUCACUUAGCUUUCUUUUCAACUUUACCCGAUGACCAGUAUUUUAGCUUUAUGCUUCUUCACAUGUCCCAGAUCCAACAGUGAGGUAUCCCUGACUUUAGCAUGGAAUUAAGCUAUGGUGUUUAGCUGUAGCUUGGGAGUCCCUUUCCUUAGGUCUGGUUGCAAUAGCACCACGACCAAGCCUUUGCGGAGUUUAGCUGAAUCUGUUUCAAGUGGCACUGUCGGUAUGUGUCAAAGCUGUGUUCCGAUCCCAGUUCAGAGCACUUCAUUGUCUUUCUCUGUCAGUCUAAUAGCUCCAAGCUGUGUAGCUGAGAAACACCAAACUUAGAUGCCCUUAUGUGGGACUAUAUUUUACCACUGCAUCUCCCUCUGCCAGUCUCACUUUGCAAUAGCUGCCAGCCCUGUUCUUUGAUCCCUACUGUCCUUGCUUUGUGUUGCUAUCCCUGCAUAUUUGCACCCUUUCACGGCCUCUGUGAGGAUAGCCUAUGUUGAUUGUUUUUUUCUUUUUUUUCCCCAAGAAAGAACUGGGAGGAUCUGCAAGUCAAAGCAAAGGGAUGGUUAAAAAACAUGCAAGUGGAAAAGUGGAGUCUGUGAGACGGAAAGCAUAAUGCUUGCAAACAGAGAGGAAGAAAACAGGGUCCUCAGUGACAGACCCCAGUGCAAGAGGCUUUUGGAAAGCCACAGGCUCAGUCUGUUGCCCUGGAAACCGAUGAUGCCCCUCACUAUUUUUGGCAGUAGGAAAAAGCCGUGAGUGCCGUAAUCCAGGCCCUGCUGCCACCACUGUCUUUCCCUCUUGACUUAAUAGAAGAGGGGAAAGAGGCUUUUAACAUUCCGCAGGUAGCAGCGUUAUCAUCUGGCCCUCAGCUUACAAGGGAUCUCGGGCUCAGUGCUGUUUAAUCUGGAUGGUCACGUCCCGUGGCAAACCUGGUGUCCUCAUGUCGAAAACUGCCGCCAGCCAAAAGCUGAGGGAGGGAUCACACGCCAUCUCCCCCAAGCAUCCAUGCCUGGCCACUGGCAGAGACAUGGUGCAAGGGGAGAUGAACCCCUAGUCUGACCCAAUAUUAAUCUAACUUUCCAAUGCUCAAUUAGUUUAUCCUGAAGUAGGAUUGAAAAAAACUAGUUUCUUCAUGUCUCCUGUCAAAACUUGUGUUGUUGUGCUUCCAAGGAUGAAGACUCUAUGACCUCUCUGGGUAAUCUGUUCCAGUGUCCGACUGCCCUUACAGUAAAAUUUUUUUGUCGUAUUUAAAGAGAAUUUCUUGUAUUUCAGUUUGUGCCCAUUUCCUCUUGUCCUGUCACUGACAAAAGUCUGGCUCUGCUGCCUUUACACCCUUUGUUCAGGUAUUUAUACAUGGUAAGAUUCCCCUGAGCCUUUUUUGUUCCAGGCUGAACAGUCUCAGCUCUCAGCCUCUCAUCAUACAUCAGAUCUUCCAGCCCCUUAAUCACCUUGUGGCUGUUUGCUGGAUUCACUCCAGUACAUCCAUGCCUCUCUUGCACUGGAGAGCCCAGCACUGGACCCAGCACCCCAGAUGUGUCUCACUAGGGCUGAGCAGAGGGGAAGGAUCAGCUCCUACCUGCUGUCAGUGCUCUUCCAAUGCAGCCUGGGUGUAUCCGAGCUCCCGGAGACUUGGGAAAGGAAGAGUCUUUAUGCUGCUGUCCCUAUGAAUUGUGCCCAAAUUUGGCCAGAGUUCAUAAACUUGGGCAAAAAGGGGCCCUAUAGGUCACAAAGGGUGACCGUUACAGAAUGAAACAUGCAUGCCAUGUACACAGAAACUGUCCAAAGACCAAUCUGAUUGCAGUAUGAGAAACACUAGGUCAAGCUCACUUGCACAGAUUUUAAUGUUUUAUUAUGCAGAUUGUAAUGGU